UUGCUCUUUGCAGUAAAUCUUGCUACUGCUCACUCUUUGGGUCCACACUGCUUUUAUGAGCUGUAACACUCACUGCGAAGGUCUGCAGCUUCACUCCUGAGCCAGCGAGACCACGAACCCACCAAAAGGAAGAAACUCCGAACACAUCCGAACAUCAGAAAGAACAAACUCCAGACACGCCGCCUUUAAGAACUGUAACACUCACCGCGAGGGUCCACAGCUUCAUUCUUGAAGUCAGUGAGACCAAGAACCCAGCAAUUCCGGACACAGGAUGAGUGGGUGAAUGCCUGAACUUACCUGAUCCUUCUGUAGGAAGCAAUGACAACUUUUGGUUUUUAUUCUUGGUUUUUUUUUUUUUUUUUUUGAGAUGGAGUCUCGCUCUUGUCACCCAGGCUGGAGUGCAGUGGUGUAAUCCCGGCUCACCGUAACCUCCACCUCCCAGGUUCAAGCAAUUCUCCUGCCUCAGCCUCUUGAGUAACUGGGACUACAGGUGUGCACCACUAUGCCCGGCUAAUUUUGUAGAUGUUGGCCAGGCUGGCCUUGAACUCCUGACCUCAGGUGAUCCGCCCACCUCGGCCUCCCAAAGUGCUGGGAUUACAGGCGUGAGCCACUGCGCCCAGCUAUUCCUGUUCUUAAAAUGGCCAAAUUCACAUAAGAGAAAACAAAGUAUUGGGCUGGCAAUUAUCCAUCUAUAGUCAAACUUCUGAAAUCUUAGUAGGAUAUUAAUGCUGAGAAAAAACUAACUUUAGUGCAACACACAGAAACAGCAUCAACUAUAAAGUUCUGGACAAAGAAAAAUGUAAUUUCUCCCACACCGAAGCCUUGGUUCCACUCAGGAUUGGGCAUCAUCAUAGACUUACCUCCUUGGAAGAGGAGAAGAGCUACUUAGUAACUCUCUUGAGAAAAAU
rnacentral:lncRNA from 10 species